rnacentral:rRNA from 1 species
GAUGAACGCUAGCGGGAGGCCUAACACAUGCAAGCCGAGCGGUAUUGUUUCUUCGGAAAUGAGAGAGCGGCGUACGGGUGCGUAACACGUGUGCAACCUGCCUUUAUCUGGGGGAUAGCCUUUCGAAAGGAAGAUUAAUACUCCAUAAUAUAUUGAACGGCAUCGUUUAAUAUUGAAAGCUCCGGCGGAUAGAGAUGGGCACGCGCAAGAUUAGCUAGUUGGUGAGGUAACGGCUCACCAAGGCGAUGAUCUUAGGGGGCCUGAGAGGGUGAUCCCCCACACUGGUACUGAGACACGGACCAGACUCCUACGGGAGGCAGCAGUGAGGAAUAUUGGUCAAUGGGUGCAAGCCUGAACCAGCCAUCCCGCGUGAAGGACGACUGCCCUAUGGGUUGUAAACUUCUUUUGUAUAGGGAUAAACCUACCCUCGAGAGGGUAGCUGAAGGUACUAUACGAAUAAGCACCGGCUAACUCCGUG